UACGUAGGGGGCUAGCGUUGUCCGGAAUCAUUGGGCGUAAAGCGCGCGUAGGCGGCCCGGUAAGUCCGCUGUGAAAGUCAAAGGCUCAACCUUUGAAUGUCAGCGGAUACUGCCGGGCUAGAGUCCGGAAGAGGCGAGUGGAACUCCUGGUGUAGCGGUGAAAUGCGCAGAUAUCAGGAAGAACACCCGUGGCGAAGGCGGUUCUCUGGGACGGUACUGACGCUGAGACGCGAAAGCGUGGGGAGCGAACAGG
rnacentral:rRNA from 1 species